UACUUUAUCACACUAGCCGUUCGAGUGGUGAAGUGUGUGAAAUAUUUUCUAAUGAAUCUGUGAAUCUAAAUGUGGUUGCGUCGUUGGGUGAAUCCCUCGACUCGUGAAUCAACUACCAUAACUAAUGAAUCUGUGAAUCUAAAUGUGGUUGCGUCGUUGGGGUGAAUCUCCUCGACUCUUACGUGGUAAAAGUGCAAAACGGCCAAUGGCGGCCUAUUAAAAUGACAUAUGUCUACCAAUUAACCGUAAUUACCACCGUUUACCGUUUACCGUUUACCGUUUAUCGUUUACCGUUUACCGUGUUUACUUACCGUUUUCUAAUAUAUGUGGUUACUGAUUUCUUGAUUAUCAU
rnacentral:lncRNA from 1 species